rnacentral:rRNA from 1 species
AGCAGCCGCGGUAAUUCCAGCUCCAAUAGCGUAUAUUAAAGUUGUUGCAGUUAAAAAGCUCGUAGUUGAAUUUCGGGAUCAGAUUGUCGGUCGUGCCUCGGUACGCACUGGCAUUAUUGGUUCCUACCUUCUGAAGAACCGCGAUGUCAUUAAUUUGGUGUCUUGGGGAAUCAGGACCGUUACUUUGAAAAAAUUAGAGUGUUUAAAGCAGGCUCACGCUUGAAUACAUUAGCAUGGAAUAAUGAAAUAGGACGUUUGAUUCUAUUUUGUUGGUUUCUAGGAUCGACGUAAUGAUUAAUAGGGAUAGUUGGGGGCAUUAGUAUUCAAUUGUCAGAGGUGAAAUUCUUGGAUUUAUUGAAGACUAACUACUGCGAAAGCAUUUGCCAAGGAUGUUUUCAUUAAUCAAGAACGAAAGUUAGGGGAUCGAAGACGAUCAGAUACCGUCGUAGUCUUAACCAUAAACUAUGCCGACUAGGGAUCGGAUGAUGUUAAUUUUUUAAUGUACUCAUUCGGCGCC